rnacentral:sRNA from 1 species
GCCAGGUGUGGUGGCGCACGCCUGUAAUGCCAGCGGCUCAGGAGGCUGAGGCAGGAGGAUCAUGGGUUCAAAGCCAGCCUCAGCAAAAACGAGGUGCUAAGCAACUCAGUGAGACCCUAUCUCUA